UCUGAAUGCAGAUAGAAGCAUACUUUUUUUGUUUCUUCUUUCUCCUGCUUUUUCUCCGAGCUCAGUCCUGACAAGACAGCAGUCACUGCUCUGACCUAAGGUUAAGCAGUUGUGCCCCUGUGCUAAGGAAGCCAAAUUUCACCAGGAGGUUUUUGUUCAGGGCUGGAUCACUGUGACAGGCCAGCUGUAAUGAUGUUGAUAGUAAUGCAGUCCAUUAUCUUCAGUCUCUACAGUGAUGACUGUGAGAGUAUAGUCUGUCCCAGACCCGCUGCCACUGAACCAGGCAGGGACUCCAGAAUGCAGGAUGGCAGCACCAUAGAUAAGGAGCUUGGGAGGCUGUCUUGGUGGCUGAUGGUACCAAGCUAAAUUAUUGCUUGUCAAUAUUCUCUUGUCAAGAUAUUCAGAAAUACCCUGUUUUCCAGGGCUAAGGCCAAGCAAGUAAGCUGUGUCCUGAGCUUGGCAUAACAAUGAUCCUCUGUCCUCACCAUCUGGGUGAUCUCACCCCCUGGCAAAAUCAUAUAAUUAUGACAUUGCUUUGACCAGGUAUUCUGUGAGCUCAGAAAAGCACCACACAGGUAACCACGUACUGGCGAUGAAGUCCUGUUAUGAAUCCAACUUGUCCCAUUGCUGCUGUUACCUCUCCCAGACCUGAGCUCAAAUCCAAGUUCAGGCACUUGCUAGCUGUGGGACCCCUGAGCAAGUCACUUCACCCUAGUUUCCACAUGUAUAAAAUAGGGUCUUUAACAGCACCUGCUUCCCAAGGUUGGUGUGAGGACUAGACGAGAUAGUCCUUGUAAAUUACUUAGCCCUGCCUGGAACACAAUGAGCUCCACGUAAACGUUAGCUCUGAGUUUUAUUGAGCCCAUCUAGCAGACCACUGGCAUUCCCCAGGCCCAGCCAAACGCUCUCCACGUCUCCUGGCUUCCCUCGGGUCAGUCUCCUUGGCAGAGGAAACAGACACAAAGAGAUCACGGCCUUGUCCUGGCCGGCGCCCCCUUCACCUCUCCUGCUGCCCUGGGCUCACUCGUGUCCUGCUCCUCUUGGAAGCCCCAUGGGGCUGAGCGAGCGCUCCGGGGAUCCUGCCCCAGCCCGUGGUCUCCCUCCUCAGAGCCGUGGCUUCCCUGCGUGUUUGCGUCACUUCCUGCGAGAAGAUGGCGGCGCACCAGAAGCACUUCAUUAGACCCGCGGCCUGUUGUGACUGGCUGCUUAAGUAAGGGAGACUGCGGGCUAAACUAGCUUCGGAGGAGCCCAGGACCCCUCGAGGUCUGUGAGCCCACGCCUGGUGACUCCCUGUGGGCUCUGGGGCUGUGAAGACCACACAGGAGCUCUCCCUUCUGUGGCCUCUGCUCUGCCCCAGGAGGACAGCCUGGAGGAAGAGAGAAUGGCUCCUGCCCUGACAGCCAGGCCCAGGAAGGAAUCGGUGACAUUCAAGGAUGUGGCUGUAGAAUUCACCUGGGAGGAGUGGGUACAUUUGAACCCAUCUCAGAAAACACUGUACAGGGAUGUGAUGCUGGAGAAUUAUAGGAACUUGGUGUCUUUGGGAUUUGCAGUUUCCAAGCCAGAUGUCAUCUACCAGUUGGAAAGAAAGGAAGCAUCUUGGAUGCCAGAGGCAGAUAUUCCAAGAAGCAGCUGUCCGGGUGACUUCAGAAAAACCAAGCAGAUGGAUCAUUAUAAAAGCCAGCUCUGUUGGUCAUUUUAGAGAGCAUAGAAUUUACUGGAGAGAAACCUAAUGAAUGUGGUGAAUAUGGGAAGGCCUUCAGG